CGGGGGGUGGGGUGGGAAGAGUGUAGCAGUGAGGACGACGAGAGGUCACUCUCGUCGCCAUUUUGUUUUUGGUGGUUUUUGUCUGGCUUCUUUACCGCAACCUGUUUUAUCAGCAAAGUCUUUAUAACCUGUAUUUUGUGCUGACCUCCUAUCUCAUCCUGUGACUUAGAAUGCCUUAACAACUGUCUGGAAUGCAGCCCGAUAUUUCAUGAUUCUGAAGAAGAAUUGGAGGUGAGACUUGAGAAAAUGGAGAAAAAGAUAUGCUUUGGAUUUUCUUGAAGACUAGAAGCUUUCUUAACCAUCCACCACCUUGUUGACUGGUUAUUAUUCUCUCUACCUUCUGUGAAACAAACUGAUGGAUACUAAUGGCACAAUUACACUUAUAGCUAGUCAGUUGCAUAGUUUAUGCACAUAGUUCUGCUUCCAGUGUUUAGUAAUGAGUUAAACAUUUUGGCUAUAUUUGUCUCUGAAGCUAUAAUUUCAAUUAAUCAUUAUGUAUAGCAAUAAUAACAAGUAAAACAAAAAGAAGAAUUUUUUGUUUCUAUGGUAAUUAUGUUGGGUGCUUUGGAUCCUCCCAAUAAAGUUGACUUCCUAAAAUAAUUACACUUGAAUUAGGUAUAGAGAAGCUAAUUGUAACAAAUUGAAAGUUACUGUAAAUCUUCUAAUCGUAGUUCUCUGCAAGUGUACUUAAGUUAUUGCUCCACUUGAAAUAAAUGAAAACUGGAAAUCUGAGGUGAUGAAUUAUGGGUCCCUUUUAUGUAAGAAAGAUGACAAGGAAAUCUAAUCUGCUGAGUUAUACUAAAAUAAAAUACCUUGGCCUGGGAUCAAAUAUAGGUGAAAGAAUUAACAUUUAUGUUUUUUAAUUAAGAUAAAAUGUACAAGUUUUAUGUACAUAUUUUAUGAUUUCCUGAUAUAACAAAAAGUGUUGAUAAAAGCACCCAAUACUGAUUCUAAUGACAUUUGAUUAGCAUUAAAGAGUUGCUAUUAUUAUUGUUGUUGUUGUCGUCAUUGUUAUUUGGUGACUGGGUGAAUAUUAGACACCCAGUUGCCGAAUGGGUGGUUGACAUCCACCACCACUGGCAAUGACCGAGCCAAGUAG
rnacentral:lncRNA from 1 species